rnacentral:rRNA from 1 species
AUUGAACGCUGGCGGCAGGCCUAACACAUGCAAGUCGAACGAGUGGCGGACGGGUGAGUAAUGUCUGGGAAACUGCCUGAUGGAGGGGGAUAACUACUGGAAACGGUAGCUAAUACCGCCUACCAUCAGCUGUGCCCAGAUGGGAUUAGCUGGUUGUUGGGGUAACGGCUCACCAAGGCGACGAUCCCUAGCUGGUCGGAGAGGAUGACCGGGCGCACUGGAACUGAGACACGGUCCAGACGCAUACGGGAGGCACAAGUGGGGAAUAUCGCACAAUGGGGGCAAGCCUGAUGCAGCCAUGCCGGGUGUAUGAAGAAGGACUUCGGGUUGUAAAGUACUUUCCGCGGGGAGGCGUUACCCGCAGAAGAAGCACCGGCUAACUCCGUGCCAGCAGCCGCGGUAAUUC